GUGGGGAAUAUUGGGCAAUGGGGGAAACCCUGACCCAGCGACGCCGCGUGAGGGAAGAAGGCCUUAGGGUCGUAAACCUCUGUUGUGUGGGAAGAAGGAAGUGACGGUACCACACGAGGAAGUCCCGGCUAACUACGUGCCAGCAGCCGCGGUAAUACGUAGGGGACGAGCGUUGUCGGGAAUUACUGGGCGUCAAGGGCGCGUAGGCGGUCAUUUAAGUCAGCUGUGAAAUGGUCCGGCUCAACCGGAUCAUGCGGUUGAAACUGGAUGACUGGAAUGCUAGAGAGACAAGUGGAAUGCCCAGUGUAGCGGUGAAAUGCGUAGAUAUUGGGAAGAACAACGGUGGCGAAGGCGACUUGCUGGCCAGCAACUGACGCUGAGGCGCGAAAGCCAGGGGAGCAAACGGGAUUAGAUACCCGGGUAGUCC
rnacentral:rRNA from 1 species